rnacentral:rRNA from 1 species
UACGGGGGGUGCGAGCGUUGUCCGGAAUCACUGGGCGUAAAGGGCGCGUAGGUGGUCUGAUAAGGGUGUGGUGAAAGCCCGGGGCUCAACCCCGGGUCGGCCGUGCCGACUGUUAGACUAGAGUGCUGUAGGGGCAGGCGGAAUUCCGGGUGCAGCGGUGGAAUGCGUAGAGAUCCGGAGGAAGACCGGUGGCGAAGGCGGCCUGCUGGGCAGAUACUGACACUGAGGCGCGACAGCGUGGGGAGCAAACAGG